GGAGAGGUGGCAGAGUGGUCGAAUGCGCUCGCUUGGAAAGCGUGUGUAGGGAAACCUACCGAGGGUUCGAAUCCCUCCCUCUCCGCCA
rnacentral:tRNA from 3 species